rnacentral:rRNA from 1 species
AACGCGAAGAACCUUACCUGGGCUUGACAUGGAGCUGCACGGCCUAUGAAAGUAGGCCUCCUUCGAGGGUGCUGCACAGGUGCUGCAUGGCUGUCGUCAGUUCGUGCCGUGAGGUGUUUGGUUAAGUCCACCAACGAACGCAACCCCUAUGGUCCGUUGCCACCGGGUAAUGCCGGGCACUCAGGCCACACUGCCUGUUUACGCAGGAGGAAGGUGGGGAUGACGUCAAGUCAGUAUGGCCCUUACGCCCAGGGCUGCACACGUGCUACAAUGGCCGGUACAGAGGGAUGCGAAGCCGCGAGGCGGAGCCAACCCCAGAGAGCCGGCCCCAGUUCGGAUUGGGGUCUGCAACCCGACCCCAUGAAGUCGGAUUGCUAGUAACGGCGUAUCAGCUACGACCCCGG